rnacentral:rRNA from 1 species
UACGUAGGUGGCAAGCGUUGUCCGGAUUUAUUGGGUUUAAAGGGUGCGUAGGCGGCCUUAUAAGUCAGUGCUGAAAUAUCCCGGCUUAACCGGGAGGGUGGCAUUGAUACUGUAGGGCUUGAGUGUAGUCGAGGUAGGCGGAAUUGACGGUGUAGCGGUGAAAUGCUUAGAUAUCGUCAAGAACACCGAUAGUGCAGACAGCUUACUAGGCUACAACUGACGCUGAGGCACGAAAGUGUGGGGAUCAAACAGG